CUGCAAGGUGCUGCAUGGUUGUCGUCAGCUCGUGCCGUGAGGUGUCGGGUUAAGUCCCAUAACGAGCGCAACCCUUAUCGUUAGUUGCCAUCUGGUAAAGCAGGGGACUCUAGCGAAACUGCCACCGUAAGGUGAGAGGAAGGUGGGGAUGACGUCAAAUCAGCACGGCCCUUAUGUCCAGGGCUACACACGUGUUACAAUGGCCGGUACAGAGAGAAGCAACCUCGCGAGGGUGAGCAAAUCUCAAAAAGCCGUUCUCAGUUCGGAUUGAAGUCUGCAACUCGACUUCAUGAAGUCGGAAUCGCUAGUAAUCGCGGAUCAGCAUGCCGCGGUGAAUACCGUUCCCGGGCCUU
rnacentral:rRNA from 1 species